rnacentral:lncRNA from 1 species
UAUAGAAGUAAAGACAAAGAAAUAUUGAGACAAAUAUAUUCAAGUAUAUGAUAAAAAGCAUAUUUAUUGACCAAAAUGGCAUAUUUUUCUUAGUCUUUCUUCCCCAAUGGAAUGAGCACAACAUGGUACUAAUACCACCAUUAAAAGGAAAACAAACUAAAAGAAGACGUGCCAAUGUACAAGUUACAUCAUAAUUUAUGCAUUAUUUCUAACAAAUCUCAUAAAACCU